rnacentral:tRNA from 1 species
UGCAGUUCAGUGGUAGAGGACUUGUCUAGUAAGUAAAAGGCCCUGGGUUCGAUCCCCAGUCCAA